AAACAUAAGUAAAAGAGAGAUAAAUAAAUCAGACUACAUAUUGAGUUCAAUCAUAAUCUUAGAUUAAUUGUUUAGUUCCCUUUUAAGUCUCACAUCGUCAUCAAAUAAAAUUUAAACAUUAAAAACAAAACCAAAAAAAUAAGAGAAUAACAAAAAGAUAGAAAAACCCAAGAAUUGUAUUCUUGAUCUCUAAAUCUUCUUGGAUCCUUCAAAUUCUUCUUAGCUUCAAUGAUUUUGUGGCUUGACUCUCAG
rnacentral:lncRNA from 1 species